AAUAGUGGGCUUGUCAUCUGCCUGCUUACAGCCAUACCCAUUAUUUCUGAAACUGUACACAAUUUUUUUCCUUUCUAAGUAUUUUACAAUACCUGUGAUGUGUCUCCUUAAUCUCUUCCAGGCUCAGAACCUCUUUUUAUUGCACGAUGUUUUUAUGUGAUUUUCUUUUCAGACUUUCCACCAUUUUGGCUGUAGACUUGGAGUUAGGUAGACUUAAGACCCAGGUCUAUACCUUUGUUAAUGCCAUGAAGCCUAAGUUUCCUCACUGGUAGAACAGGGAUUAUAAUUACAGUCACUUCAAUUGGGUGGCUGUGAGGUUUAAAUUGGGCAAAACAUGUAUAAGCAUCUAAUUCAGUGCCUGGCACAUGGGGAGUAUUUAUAAAUGGAAAUUGCUUUUAGGAGGAGAAAGAGCUGUUAUGCCAAGCAUAGCCCUCUUAAUGUUCGGCACCUAAAACUGAAAACCAGUGGGCCUCAUUUGGUGGAGCAUAAGUUUUCUACCUCAUGUGACUUUUGAUCCUAAAUUUCUUCAGUACUGCUUAUAAUAAAUACGACAUUAACUUUUUUAGUAAUCUUAUCUCACUUGCGACUCAUAUCCAGCUCUAUAAUAUUCAUGUGUUUCUCACAUGAUCAACAGCCACAUCAGAUUGUCCUUCAUCCUGAAUCUAUAAAGCUGGUUCUUUAAAUUUGAGUCCUAUUCUUUAGUCAUCUCUCUUAGUUUUCAUCAUGUCUAUUUGGUUGAGCAUUGCGGCUUCCCAAGAUAAUUUUGAAUUUGAGUCUCAUUUAUGCUUUUAGUGAAACUCCUUCAGGCUGGCUUGUGCCCUUUUGGUAUGUCACCAUUAAUCUUUGAGGUUAUCCUUGCUUCCUGGUACAUAGGAGAUACCCCAGGAUUGCCUUGUACUUGGGCUGCCCCAAACUUGGAAGUCAAUAAUUUCUCCAAGUGGCCAAGGUUCCUUUUAGUGGGAAUGGUAUUUAGAAAUCCAGAUUUGGGCUCUACGGCUGCUCAUUGCUACUGGUGUCACUGUUUCCAGACUCUCUGAGUGGUGAAGCUAGAACAGCCGUGGGUAAACUACGGCCCGCGGGCUGGAUCCGGCCCGUUUAAAAUGAAUAAAACUAUUGAAA